rnacentral:rRNA from 1 species
GAUUAGCUGAGAGGUGGUGCAUGGCCGUCGUCAGUUCGUACUGUGAAGCAUCCUGUUAAGUCAGGCAACGAGCGAGACCCACGUCCACAGUUGCCAGCAUACCCUCCGGGGUGAUGGGUACACUGUGGAGACCGCCGCUGCUAAAGCGGAGGAAGGAGUGGGCAACGGUAGGUCAGUAUGCCCCGAAUCUCCCGGGCUACACGCGGGCUACAAUGGUUGGUACAAUGGGCAUCUACCCGAAAGGGGAAGGAAAUCUCUUAAAGCCAAUCGUAGUUCGGAUUGAGGGCUGCAACUCGCCCUCAUGAAGCUGGAAUCCGUAGUAAUCGCGUUUCAACAGAACGCGGUGAAUACCGUCCCUGCUCCUU